AUGUGCUCUGGUAGAGAUGUGUGCUCCAGGAGGGAUGUGUGCUCUGGUAGAGAUGUGUGCUCCAGGAGGGAUGUGUGCGUAUCUGGGAGGGAUACGCACUCCAGCAGGGAUGCACACUCCAUUAGGGAUGUGUGGUCCAGGAGAGAUGUGUGCUCCAGGAGGGAUGUGUGCUCCAGGGAUGUGUGCGUAUCCAUCAGGGAUGUGUGCUCCAGCAGGGAUUUGUGUUCAACAGGGAUGUGUGCUCCAGGAGGGAUGUGUGCGUAUCUGGGAGGGAUACGCACUCCAGCAGGGAUGCACACUCCAUUAGGGAUGUGUGGUCCAGGAGAGAUGUGUGCUCCAGGAGGGAUGCUCAGUAGAGUUGUGUGCUCCAUCAGGGAUGUGUGCUCUGGGAGGGAUGUGCACUCCGGUAGGGAUGUGUGCUCCAGGAGGGAUGCACACUCCAGUAGAGUUGUGUGCUCCAGCAGGGGUGUGUGCUCCAGGAGGGAUGCACGCUCCAUCAGAGAUGUGUGCUCCAGGAAGGAUGUGUGCUCUGGUAGGGAUGUGUGCUCCAGGAGGGAUGUGUGCUCCAGGAGGGAUGCACACUCCAUCAGAGAUGUGUGCUUCCACAGGGAUGUGUGCUCUGGUAGGGAUGUGUGCUCCAGGAGGGAUGCUUUGGGGCAGGGUGUUUCCUCUGGCAAGGGAUGUGUGCUCCGGCAGGGAUGCUCCAGCAGGGAUGCUCCCUCAGGGGUGCAUGCUCCAGCAAGGGAUGUGCUCCAUCAGGGAUGCUCCAUCAGGGAUAAUUGCUCCAGCAAGGGAUGUGUGCUCCAUAGGGAUGUGUGCUCCAUCAGGGAUGCUUCAUCAGGGAUAAGUGCUCCAGCAAGGGAUGUGUGCUCCAUCAGGAUGUGUGCAGGGAUAAUUGCUCCAGCAAGGGAUGUGUGCUCCAUCAGGGAUGCUCCAUCAGGGAUUAAGUGCUCCAGCAAGAGAUGUGUGCUCCACAGGGAUGUGUGCUCCAUCAGGGAUGCUUCAUCAGGGAUAAGUGCUCCAGCAAGGGAUGUGUGCUCCAUCAGGAUGUGUGCUCCAGCAAGGAUGUGUGCUCUGGUAGGGAUGUGUGCUCCAGGAGGGAUGCUUCGGCAGGGUGUUUCCUCUGCUGAGGGAUGCACGCUCUGGCAGGGAUGGGCAUUUUGGGAAGGGAUGUGUGCUCCAGGAAGGGGUGCACUCUCCAGGAGGGACGUAGGCUCCGGCAGGGAGGUGCUUUCCAUCAAGGAUGCAUGUUCCACCAAGGGACACACUCUCCAGCAGGGAUGCACGCUCGCUCCCACCUCUGCCCUGGGCUCUAGAGGAGAGGGGGAGGCUGGUUCUCCUUCCCCUGGCCCUCUUGGUCCUCCCCAUGGGCAGGUGCUGGGGUGGCAAGAGCUGAGCCCAGCAGCGCAUUCAGGAGGAGGCUCGGCAGGGUGUUUCCUCUGCUGA
rnacentral:lncRNA from 1 species